UACGUAGGGUGCAAGCGUUGUCCGGAAUUAUUGGGCGUAAAGAGCUCGUAGGCGGUCUGUCGCGUCUGCUGUGAAAACCUAGGGCUUAACUCUGGGCGUGCAGUGGGUACGGGCAGGCUAGAGUGCGGUAGGGGAGACUGGAAUUCCUGGUGUAGCGAUGAAAUGCGCAGAUAUCAGGAGGAACACCGGUGGCGAAGGCGGGUCUCUGGGCCGUAACUGACGCUGAGGAGCGAAAGCAUGGGGAGCGAACAGG
rnacentral:rRNA from 1 species